rnacentral:rRNA from 1 species
UACGUAGGGGGCUAGCGUUGUCCGGAAUCAUUGGGCGUAAAGAGCGUGUAGGCGGUCCGGUAAGUCCGCUGUGAAAGUCGGGGGCUCAACCCUCGAAUGCCGGCGGAUACUGUCGGGCUAGAGUGCGGAAGAGGCGAGUGGAAUUCCUGGUGUAGCGGUGAAAUGCGCAGAUAUCAGGAGGAACACCAAUUGCGAAGGCAGCUCGCUGGGACGUUACUGACGCUGAGACGCGAAAGCGUGGGGAGCAAACAGG